UACGGGGGGGGCAAGCGUUGUUCGGAAUCACUGGGCGUAAAGCGCACGUAGGCGGCUUUUUAAGUCAGAGGUGAAAUCCUGGAGCUCAACUCCAGAACUGCCUUUGAUACUGGAGAGCUUGAGUCCGGGAGAGGUGAGUGGAACUGCGAGUGUAGAGGUGAAAUUCGUAGAUAUUCGCAAGAACACCAGUGGCGAAGGCGGCUCACUGGCCCGGUACUGGCGCUGAGGUGCGAAAGCGUGGGGAGCAAACAGG
rnacentral:rRNA from 1 species